rnacentral:lncRNA from 1 species
GCCCCCGUUUCCGUUGUCGAGGAGACACGCCAGAAAAUCGCGAGCUUGGAAGCUUCCUCCUGAGAGACUUCGGAGGAGGUUGAAGAGCGAGCGAGAGGAAGGCGAGUGAGAGAGAACUCGGGUCGCGAGUUCGGCUGACCUCCCACUGAGAGACUUCGGGGGAGGUUGCCGGCGAGCGAGUCCGAGGCGGUCAGAUCCGGCCGGUGGAGGCUCGGAU